rnacentral:lncRNA from 1 species
AGAAAAGUAUCACCUCCUCCUGUUCCUCUUCUUUCUGUUUUUUUAAAAUUAGUAAAUGAUGUGCCUAUGUCUUGAUUAUCUGUUGUGUUUUGUGAUAGUGGUAGGUUAGAAAAAUGGAAACUGGAAGAAGGGAAACAAAGUUUCCUCUUUUAUAUCAUAAGUGAAACAGUAGUUAUAAAUAUAAAAUCCAAUGGUAAUUUGACUGAGAGAUAUAUCAGACCUAGCCAAUUCUUUGUUUCAAUCUUCACAGUGAGAAAUUCCGAACAGCUGCCAGGAAGCAACACACUCUCUGUUUCUCAGGGGAGGAAGAAGGAAAACUAAAGGAACAAAGGACCGUGCCUGGACAGAUGAUGAAGCAAUUAGACUAUUGUGAAAUCUAAAAGAACCGCAGUAUCAGAACAAUUGAAUGAGAAAGUAAAUUACUGAAUGUAAAGCACUAUACAUACUUUGGAAAGAUUUGGAGUAUAUAAGAAAGAAAGAAGCCAUUUUGGAAUCUUAAUGUAAGAUAAGGAGUAAAAUAAACCUGUACUUUUUUUUUUUCUGUCAAUCUCUCUCCUGAUUUCCUUGUUUCCCAUCAUGUUGGAGGUCAGUGAGAAGAGUCAACAUGGACCAUUUUUCAUGAAGGUGGCCACUAGUCACCCAGAAUGUCACUAUCUUUUAUUCAGUACUUUGAAAAAUGUACUUAAAUAAAUAAAUGAACACCCCAUUUCAAUUGAGUCAUUUAGUGGGAGUCACAAGGUGAGAGGCCACAGUAUAGACUAAGCCACAUCACUGGUCCCUUGAAAAAGUAAGAGUGGAA